rnacentral:misc_RNA from 1 species
GAUGAAGAACGCAGCGAAAUGCGAUAAGUAAUGUGAAUUGCAGAAUUCAGUGAAUCAUCGAAUCUUUGAACGCACAUUGCGCCCGCUAGUAUUCUGGCGGGCAUGCCUGUCCGAGCGUCAUUUCAACCCUCGAACCCCUCCGGGGGGUCGGCGUUGGGGAUCGGCCCUUUACGGGGCCGGCCCCGAAAUACAGUGGCGGUCUCGCCGCAGCCUCUCCUGCGCAGUAGUUUGCACACUCGCAUCGGGAGCGCGGCGCGUCCACAGCCGUUAAACACCCCAAACUUCUGAAAUGUUGACCUCGGAUCAGGUAGGAAUACCCGCUGAACUUAAGCAUAUCAAUAAGCGGAGGA